rnacentral:rRNA from 1 species
CCUACGGGAGGCAGCAGUGGGGAAUAUUGCACAAUGGGCGCAAGCCUGAUGCAGCCAUGCCGCGUGUGUGAAGAAGGCCUUCGGGUUGUAGAGCACUUUCAGCGGGGAGGAAGGCGGUGAGGUUAAUAACCUCAUCGAUUGACGUUACCCGCAGCAGAAGCACCGGCUAACUCCGUGCCAGCAGCCGCGGUAAUACGGAGGGUGCAAGCGUUAAUCGGAAUUACUGGGCGUAAAGCGCACGCAGGCGGUCUGUCAAGUCGGAUGUGAAAUCCCCGGGCUCAACCUGGGAACUGCAUUCGAAACUGGCAGGCUAGAGUCUUGUAGAGGGGGGUAGAAUUCCAGGUGUAGCGGGGAAAUGCGUAGAGAUCUGGAGGAAUACCGGUGGCGAAGGCGGCCCCCUGGACAAAGACUGACGCUCAGGUGCGAAAGCGUGGGGAGCAAACAGGAUUAGAUACCCCGGUAGUC